AGAUCAAAUCGUUGGUCGUGCCUCGGUACGUACUGGCAUUAUUGAUUUCUCCCUUCUGAAGAACCACGAUGUCAUUAAUUUGGUGUCGUGGGGAAUCAGGACUGUUACUUUGAAAAAAUUGGAGUGUUUAAAGCAGGCUCACGCUUGAAUACAUUAGCAUGGAAUAAUGAAACAGGACGUUUGAUUCUAUUUUGUUGGUUUCUAGGAUCGAAGUA
rnacentral:rRNA from 1 species